GCAUUAACUCCUGCAGGACUACGCUAUUUUCGGAUUAAUACAUACAAAUAUCAAAAUAUAAACGGGAUCUAUUUAUACAUCCCUGGUGGUCUCAUCUUUCUCUCACAGUUUCAGGGUAAACCACUUGGUUUAUUUUUAACCCUGCUGUCGCUCAGGGGUUACAGGUGUAUCGACAGCCGUGUUGCCAGAUUGGGCAGAUUUCCAGCCCAAUCUGGCCACAUUGAUGGACAGGACUCCGGAAAUGACGUGGACCCUCACCAGCGGACUGGAAAAAUAAGCCCGUACUGUAACAUAAUUUUGCCUUCAAACUAAAAGCCCUCAUCAGAUAUUUUGAGAUUUGUCUUACCGACAUAUUGAGAUGCUCAUGUGUACUUUAUAACGCAGCCCCUUGUAUUUACUCCUUGUACUUAUAACGUUGCCUACCGUUCGUAGGAUGACCACAGAAGAGAAGCAUUUUGUGGAAACUUUGAGUGAAUGUUUACUUUGAAAAGAGAAAGCCCUGAAGACCGGAAGUGUUGAUGUGUGUUCCUGCGCGGUGCUUGACUAGCGUUGCCAGAUUGGGCCAGAUUUCCCGUCCAAUCUGUCAACCCUGGCUGAAGUGCGCUUGACCAGUGUUGCCAGAUUGAGCGGGAAAUCUGACCCAAUCUGGCAACAAUGCGCUUGACGCAGGAGCAGCCAGGUCCACUGAGAAAGACCGAGAGGGACGAGGACUCAGCGGGGCGUCAUGGAAGAUCCAUCAGACCCCCCCUCCCCCUGCCUGGUAGAAGCAGCGACCUGCUCGGUCAUCUGCAGCCUGACUCAUUUGAAUCUGAUUUCUUGCCAGAGCCCCUCGUUAAGCUGGAGUCAGCCCCCCUGGACCAGGGGGUGCAAAAGCUCCCUGCUGGGGGGGGUGUGUGUGUUGGGGAUGGGGGGAGAAGCUGGGAGAAAAAUGCUGAACCAGCCUGCUGAACCUCACCCUUCUAAAACUGUAAAGGCCAAUUUCCACCAGAACCGCCACGGAAGCUGUACGACAGCGAAGCCGCUGUGUUCCGUACUGCAAUCCCCACUAGAAGUGGUCCGGAUAUGUUCCGGCUGA
rnacentral:lncRNA from 1 species